rnacentral:rRNA from 1 species
CCUACGGGCGGCAGCAGUGGGGAAUAUUGGGCAAUGGGCGCAAGCCUGACCCAGCAACGCCGCGUGAAGGAAGAAGGCUCUCGGGUUGUAAACUUCUUUUAUCAGGGGCGAAGCAAGUGACGGGACCUGAUGAAUAAGCCACGGCUAACUACGUGCCAGCAGCCGCUGUAAUACGUAGGUGGCAAGCGUUAUCCGGAUUUCCUGGGUGUAAAGGGCGUGUAGGCGGGAAAGCAAGUCAGAUGUGAAAACCAUGGGCUCAACCUGUUGCGUGCAUUUGAAACUGUUUUUCUUGAGUACUGGAGAGGCAGACGGAAUUCCUAGUGUAGCGGUGAAAUGCGUAGAUAUUAGGAGGAACACCAGUGGCGAAGGCGGUCUGCUGGACAGCAACUGACGCUGAGGCGCGAAAGCGUGGGGAGCAAACAGGAUUAGAUACCCCUGUAGUC